UACGUAGGGGGCAAACGUUGUCCGGAAUCAUUGGGCGUAAAGAGCGUGUAGGCGGUCAGGUAGGUCCGUUGUGAAAACUCGAGGCUCAACCUCGAGACGCCGAUGGAAACCAUCUGACUAGAGUCCGGAAGAGGAGAGUGGAAUUCCUGGUGUAGCGGUGAAAUGCGCAGAUAUCAGGAAGAACACCGGCGGUGUAGACGGCUUGCUAGACCAUAACUGACGCUGAGGCACGAAAGCGUGGGUAGCAAACAGG
rnacentral:rRNA from 1 species